rnacentral:lncRNA from 1 species
CUUUGCUUUGGCUUCUCUUGAGUCAUAUCAAUCUACACCUCAUCAAGAAUAUGAAGUUUGGAAGAACAAAGAAGCAAUUGAGCAUCCUAAACCCAAGUAGGGCAAGUAACAUGGACAUUGAUACACCAAGUUCCUUCUUGUUUUUCCUUGAAAGUUGGCUUGAUGAAUGUAUUCUGCAGUGCAAAGGACAGAAUGGGCUGGUAUGUCAGUAGCAUCUCUUUCCCCAAAGACCUCAGUUGUGACAUGUGAAAUUCUAAUUGCUAUGUGAUGUUUCCAGUUGUAAGGGCCUGAUUAUGGUUUAAUGCUUGCUGGAAAAAUAAAUGAGCAAAAUCAAGUUAGGAGACCACUUAUUUUUCCCUGCAUGAAACAUUUUAAUGUGACUUUACACUUAUAUUUCCCUGGCUAUUUUGGCAACAUAAAAGGCCCAGUCUAUAUCAAGGCCCAAGUGAA